CUAUUUUGGCAGAUAAAUGUGUUAAAUUUAGGAUUUAAUUAUGUAUAAUUUAUAAUUUACAGAUAGU
rnacentral:tRNA from 1 species